UGGGGAAUUUUGGACAAUGGGCGCAAGCCUGAUCCAGCAAUGCCGCGUGCAGGAUGAAGGCCUUCGGGUUGUAAACUGCUUUUGUACGGAGCGAAAAGGUCUGCCCUAAUACGGUGGGCUCAUGACGGUACCGUAAGGAUAAGCACCGGCUAACUACGUGCCGGCAGCCGCGGUAAUACGUAGGGUGCGAGCGUUAAUCGGAAUUACUGGGCAUAAAGCGUGCGCAGGCGGUUAUAUAAGACAGGUGUGAAAUCCCCGGGCUCAACCUGGGACCUGCGUUUGUGACUGUAUAGCUAGAGUACGGUAGAGGGGGAUGGAAUUCCGCGUGUAGCAGUGAAAUGCGUAGAUAUGCGGAGGAACACCGAUGGCGAAGGCAAUCCCCUGGACCUGUACUGACGCUCAUGCACGAAAGCGUGGGGAGCAAACA
rnacentral:rRNA from 1 species